CUUCGGUAGAGUGAAACUGCGGAUAGCUCAUUAAAUCGCCUCUAUUUUGUUUGAUAGUCCUCCACUGGAUAUCCGUGGAAAAUCUAGAGCCAAUACUUGCACUGAUAUCUAACAAGCUAAUGCUUCUUGUUAGAUGCAUUUAUUGGAUAUCCGAUCGCUCACGUUGCGAGCGUUAGGUGAUUCUAAAUGACUUUGCUGAUCGUAUGGCCUUGUGCCGACGACAGAUCAAACAAGAUCGCGCCCUAUCAAUUUGUUGUUAGGAUAUUUUCCUAACU
rnacentral:rRNA from 1 species